AGCGAACGCUGGCGGCAGGCUUAACACAUGCAAGUCGAACGCCAUCUUCGGAUGGAGUGGCAGACGGGUGAGUAACGCGUGGGAACGUACCCUUUGGUUCGGAAUAUUCUCGGGAAACUGGGAGCAAUACCGGAUAAGCCCUACGGGGGAAAGAUUUAUCGCGAAUGGAGCGGCCGAUAUCAGAUUAGGUAGUUGGUGGGGUAAAGGCUCACCAAGCCAACGAUCUGUAGCUGGUCUGAGAGGACGACCAGCCACACUGGAACUGAGACACGGUCCAGACUCCUACGGGAGGCAGCAGUGGGGAAUUUUGGACAAUGGGCGCAAGCCUGAUCCAGCCAUUCCGCGUGCAGGAUGAAGGCCUUCGGGUUGUAAACUGCUUUUGUACGGAACGAAACGGUCUGCCCUAAUACGGCGGGCUAAUGACGGUACCGUAAGAAUAAGCACCGGCUAACUACGUG
rnacentral:rRNA from 1 species